rnacentral:rRNA from 1 species
UCUGUGCGUAACAAGGGAGUGGGUCCACCCGGUCCCAUGCCGAACCCGGCAGUUAAGCACUACAUCGCGGGUGGUACUACGGAGGGUAUCCGUGGGAUGGCCAGGGAGCCAAAAGGC